UUGAGGCAGACCGUGUCUCUAACUAUGAGACCAACCUUGUACAUAUUGCAUGACAUUACAUUUUAUUUUAAAACAAACUCAAUAGUUUUAACUUAUCCCAGUCAUUUUUAACAUGGUAGCAGAGCGUGGUUAAUAGUGUGAUCGAUUAAAAUUGAAAAAUAAGUGAAUGAUCAAGAAGAUGCAAGUGAAUACGAUUGUGAAUUUUGCCGUCAUGCGGUGCUUGGCAGGAACACAUGGAAAUUUGAGGAUAUACGACUAAAUGAGUAGAAACAAGAUAAUAUAGUACUCAACGUAAUGAAACACCGAGGAUAUUGAUAAGUAUACUGUAAAUAUCAAGUUGGCGAGGAGGUGCUAUAACCCGAGGCAGCUGGCGAGGCAACAACUCUCGUGGAAGCGGUCAAAGGGGCAGCUACAAUCAAGAAGAAAAUUACCAAAACAACAACUACAGAGGUUAUACUAAUAACAACAAUAGAGGCUACGGCAACUACAGAGGCUACAGCAAUAACAGAGGAUAUAAUAACAACAACAAUCGAGGUUACGGUCAACGAGGAGGUCACCGAGAGUGCAACAAUCAACGAAGUUUUCAACAAGAAGGUCAACACGACGCACGCUAUAGUUAUAAUAAUAGGUAUUACGAUAAUACACCACAGA